rnacentral:lncRNA from 1 species
AAAAGAGGAGUCAGAUCCGUUGGUACCUCCUCCUAAAGCCACCAAGAGCGAGAGAAUCAGCUGGUUCAGGAGAAAGCUACCUGAGCUGGAGAUACUGAAGUCAACAACCAAGAGCAAGAGGUUCCACGGAAGAGUCUUGGAGUUGUACAACAAGAACUGCUCAGCUCAGUUCUUCAUGGUUUGGCUAUCUCCCGCAAAUUCCUUUGGACCAAGAGAGAUGUUAGCUGUUGACACCCUCUUCACCACCAACCCUGGUGCUUGCUUGGUGAUUUUAUCCAACUCCUUAGACUCACCAAGAGGAUCCACCAUCCUUAAGCCCUUGCUUGACCAAGGCUUCAACCUCGUUGCCGUGACACUAGACAUCCCGUUCCUCGUCAAGAACACUCCAGCAGAAGCGUGGCUUAAGAAGCUAAAGAGCGGUAAGAUGGAUCCUGGCUCCAUCCCUCUCUCCAUGAACCCCUCUGAUCUAACAAGACUUGCGGUGCUCUACAAGUACGGAGGAAUCUAUCUAGACACAGACAUCAUCUUCCUCAACUCCAUGACUGGACUGAGAAACGCGAUAGGAGCACAGAGUUUGCAUCCUAGAACCAAGAGAUGGACAAGACUAAACAACGCGGUGAUGGUCUUUGACCUUCACCACCCUCUUAUGCGCGAGUUCUUGCAAGAGUACUCCACAACUUUCGACGGUAACAGAUGGGGAUACAACAGUCCUUACCUAGUCUCUAGAGUUAUCAAUAGGUUAGGAGGACACAAGCCUGAGUACAAUCUAACGAUUUUCCACCGGAUGCUUUCUAUCCAGUGAACUGGCUUAAGAUCCCAAGUCUUUUCAAGAAACCUGCAACGGCAAGAGAAGCAAAGUGGGUGGAGAAGACGGUACAAGAGAUGAAGGAAGGGAGUUACAUGAUCCAUCUGUGGAAUAAAGUCACAAGGAAGAUGAAGAUUGAAGAAGGAAGCGUCAUGCAUAAACUCAUCUCCACACACUGCACAGUCUGUAAAACCUGAGUAUUGGGUCGUGACAUAAUCUUUGUGUCUGCUUGGAUCUUUUAAGUGUGAUGAGCUUUGUGCCUUGCGCCAUGCGGACGUCUUAAAAAGACAUUAGGUUUGUAUACAACAUGGAAGAGAGAUUUAACAUAAUAAACAUGAAAAUAGCACGAAGCUUUAGAGAGAGAUUAACAUAAUAAACAUGCAUACAUCAUAGUGAGAGUUAAUUACUUUAUUAAGAAACGACCACUAAAGCUACGAUAUGCAAUAUUUCUUUGUUAAAAGUUAAAACACAGAACAUAAAAUAAAGAUACAAACAAUUUGAAUCAUCUGUAGUUAGACUAAAACUAUAGUUGAAAGACAGCAAAAUAAUAAUUUUCUAUAGACUUUCAAUAAAUAAAUAAGUUUAUGAUUUUUAAAAUAAAUAUUCAAAUAAAUUGAGAAAUUGUUUUAAUAAAAAACAUGAAAAUUAAUUUAAUUUCAGUUGAGAAUAAGUUAAACAUUUUAAAUAUAUUUAUAUUAUUUGUUUAUUUGUUAACCGCCCGUAGAGUGGGUCUAUCCUAGAUUUUCAUAUUCAUUCACCAGCAUUGAUUCAAAAAAUGACUUUUAUGGUGAAUAUAUAAACUAAACAACUAAAAACUGCAUAUUCAGAGAACCCUCUUGAGGUCGUUUCUCGACAUGGCCUUAAGACACAUGUUACAUGUUCUGGUUCCUUUUAGUUGUAACGUGCAAGUUCUUGUUAAUUUCUCACCGAACAAACAAAAUGUUUUUUUUUCGUUGUACAUAACAUAAGGCGUAGCAUAUUCAACAAACUCUGUGGGGAAGAACGGAGUCAUCUUCUUGAUAAUCAAUUUUUUUUUUCUUGAUAAUCUUCUUGAUAAUCAUAACAUAUUCUACGCUUUGUAAUUAAUGAAAAUCUCUGUUAACUUUGCUGCAACACUUUUCUUUAACAUUAAUCUAUUAGUCUCAUUAAUUAAAGACAUGGCAAAAAAUAUCAACUUAAUCAUUAAAGAGUUUUGCAACAUAAUAAAUAAUUAAGAAUCAUUAAAGAUUUAAAGAAUUCAAGUGGCUUGGUGUAUAAUAAUAUGGCAUUGAAAACCUGAAUGAAUAGCAUUUGUGAAAAAUGAAAAAUGCAGUUAUAAGUUUAGAACUAUGACACUUAUGAACAUGUAUUAGUGUUGAUGAACAAUUUUAUAAAAGUCUAAUCAUUGCAACAGUAUAAAAUUAUAUAAUCUAUAUUAAUUUAAUUUUUAGAUUUGUCUUAGUAUAUAGAUUAAUUUUUAGUCUUAGUACUGAAAAUCUUCAACAUGAACAAAAAUAUAUGGUAGUUCUACAAGUUAGUGGUAUGCACAUCUUCUGCAUAUUCCACAAUUAGUCGAAUCAAAUGUUAUCUAAACUCCCACGUAUGAUUGACCUAACAACAUUUAUAAGAAUAUUUAUAUUUCAUAUUGUAGCUAGAGCCUAUAGAAAAUGGAAUAUAUGUAUUUGAUCUUACACCAAAAAUAAUAAUAUAUAUAUAUAUAUAUGUGUUGAUCAUGCCCAUAUAUGUGUUGCGUGAUAGAUAAAGGCUAGAAACAGACAAGUUUUAACCAACUUCAAACAAAAUAUAGUAUACAAAUAUAUAUGAAGAAAAAGGAAACAUCUAUUUUCCUUUUCUCUAUUAUUGUUAGAGGGACGUAGGGUUUUUCCUAUUUGAGAAAAAUUGUAGUCGCUGAAAAGUAAAAUUUCCAAAAUCCCUUUAAACAUGUCUCAGGAGAUAAAACUUACUUGUGUCCUUAGGCAGUUAUAACUCCUACUUCUACCAGGACCUUUGGUUUGUCGGUGUGGUCCUAAACCAGAACAACGUGUUCAAUGUGAUUAAUUUUCAAAGGCGGCAAUUACAGCUGGAAUCUUACUCCGUUUACUAAUUAACAUACAGCUUUCUACAUAAACUAAAUUAACCACCUAAGAUACAUCCGCAACGUUAUAAACUCUUGUUCUGUCUGACGUAAAGCUAACAAUAGUUUUCUUCAAAAAGAUUAAAGAUGAGAUCAAAGAAGUUAGCGAUGUUGGUGAUCUUGGCUUUAUUGCAUCUCCUCUACAUGGAAGCUCCAACAUCUACUCUCUCUGAUGACGAUAAACCACCGUUCAAACAAAACUUGCCUCUUCCUAGAAUAAAACAACCGUUCAAACAAAACGUGCCUCUUCCUAGAACCAGGAGUACUACUAGUAGGAGCAUUGUCUCGGUUGUGGUCCUUGAUCAACAAGAAAAAGAGGAGUCAGAUCCGUUGGUACCUCCUCCUAAAGCCACCAAGAGCGAGAGAAUCAGCUGGUUCAGGAGAAAGCUACCUGAGCUGGAGAUACUGAAGUCAACAACCAAGAGCAAGAGGUUCCACGGAAGAGUCUUGGAGUUGUACAACAAGAACUGCUCAGCUCAGUUCUUCAUGGUUUGGCUAUCUCCCGAAAAGUCCUUUGGACCAAGAGAGAUGCUAGCU